GUGGGGAAUCUUGCGCAAUGGGCGAAAGCCUGACGCAGCCAUGCCGCGUGAAUGAUGAAGGUCUUAGGAUUGUAAAAUUCUUUCACCGGGGACGAUAAUGACGGUACCCGGAGAAGAAGCCCCGGCUAACUUCGUGCCAGCAGCCGCGGUAAUACGAAGGGGGCUAGCGUUGCUCGGAAUUACUGGGCGUAAAGGGCGCGUAGGCGGACAGUUUAGUCAGAGGUGAAAGCCCAGGGCUCAACCUUGGAAUUGCCUUUGAUACUGGCUGUCUUGAGUACGGGAGAGGUGAGUGGAACGCCGAGUGUAGAGGUGAAAUUCGUAGAUAUUCGGAAGAACACCAGUGGCGAAGGCGACUCACUGGCCCGUUACUGACGCUGAGGCGCGAAAGCGUGGGGAGCAAACAGGAUUAGAAACCCCUGUAGUCC
rnacentral:rRNA from 1 species